UACGGAGGGGGCUAGCGUUGUUCGGAAUUACUGGGCGUAAAGCGCACGUAGGCGGCUUGGAAAGUUGGAGGUGAAAGCCCAGAGCUUAACUCUGGAACUGCCUUCAAAACUCCCAAGCUAGAGUUCGGAAGAGGAGAGUGGAAUUCCCAGUGUAGAGGUGAAAUUCGUAGAUAUUGGGAAGAACACCAGUGGCGAAGGCGGCUCUCUGGUCCGAUACUGACGCUGAGGUGCGAAAGCGUGGGGA
rnacentral:rRNA from 1 species